AUGGCUUCAAUCUGCAGAGAGAUGCAGAUGAACAACUUCUUAUUUAUCUUCCUUUACUGAGGUUGUCAAAUUUCAGUAAUUUCUGAUCAAAGAUUCAAAGGUCCUCAAGAGCAAGGUAAGGUUUGGUGUUUUUGUUUGUUUCUCAUCAUGGCUACCAAUGAAAUAUGCUUUGUUAGCGUGUUUGCUGCUUUAGUUCAGAUAUUUUAUAAGUCGGUAAUUUGUUUGUAUUGUAUAUCUACCUUUACAUUGAUCCUACCAAGCGUAUUUAUGUUUUCCGGUUUGCAUGUUUGUAGAAAGUCAGUGGUUACUAAAAACUAAGAGACCUAUAGGAAUAAGGCUAAACAUUUUUUUAAUUUGGCUUAAUCAAUUUUCUCAAAUAAGUGAAAUGUUUUUUGAUUUCAAUUGAAUUUGAUAAUUGGGUUUUGUCUCAAAGUGAAAUCUAUUAAAAUUUACAUAAAAAUUCCUGAAACUUGCAUCAUCUCAUUAAUGUUUGUCUCAAAUGUAGAUAAUUCGAUUAGAUAACCAAGACAAUCGACUUUGUUCUUAAGGUUUGUUGUCAAAUUUGAACUCAUUACUUCUUUAUUAUAUGUUUGCUUGGUGAUCAACCUGAGUUUUAAUCAAAGUUUAUUAAUUACUUCUCCUAUCUAAAUUCAGCAUUCGGAAAAAUGUUUAUUUGACAUUUACUUUGACCAGGCUUUGAUUUACAAUGUCCAAGAUAUCUUUCCCUUGCGGGUCUCGGUAACCUACAUUUUAGGGUUUAGCCACUAUGCUCAUAUUUAUUUCUCUUAAUACGUACUUUGUUUUCGUGAUUUUAUUUUUCCCCAUACUUAUGUACUACUCUCCUUUCUUUAUCUCUUUGAAGAACACAAAACACGUUGGCAGGGAUUGGUUUAAAAUACGACCAGAAUGUCAUGUUUGUUUAGAAUAUUUCAAUGGGUCCACCA
rnacentral:lncRNA from 1 species